GUUCGAGUGAACAGAUUUCUUGUCACUAGUCAGGUACCUUACGGAGUCAAUGACCCCACGGUUGGUGCGGAUAUGAUUACCAUUACCCAGAAGAGUACUGAAGGACGACCCGCAACGCAUGUCCACAAGACGAGUGGCAUAGGAUAUCAAGCACCAUGUGGUUUGACCUGUUCCGUACCAACAGAGGUCUGGCACUGUACUCUCCCCAGUUCACGCCGGUGACCGGGGACAUAGAGUUACACGGGGUGGUCUCCCUUGGCGUCCUGCUGGUGACGGUGUUCGUGUUGGCGGCGGCUGGGAUAUCCUACGGAGAGCGGACGAACACUGCCUUGAAGGUUUUAUUUGGCAUCGGAGUCAUAACGUCAAUACUGG